AACGAACGCUGGCGGUAUGCUUAACACAUGCAAGUCGAACGGACUUGUUGGGGCUCGCUCUGACAAGUUAGUGGCAAACGGGUGAGUAACACGUGGGAAUCUACCCAUCAGUACGGAAUAACAUUUGGAAACAAAUGCUAAUACCGUAUAUUCUCUAAGGAGGAAAGAUUUAUCGCUGAUGGAUGAGCCCGCGUUAGAUUAGGUAGUUGGUAGGGUAAUGGCCCACCAAGCCGACGAUCUAUAGCUGGUCUGAGAGGAUGAUCAGCCACACUGGGACUGAGACACGGCCCAGACUCCCACGGGAGGCAGCAGUGGGGAAUAUUGGACAAUGGGCGAAAGCCUGAUCCAGCAAUACCGCGUGAGUGAUGAAGGCCUUAGGGUUGUAAAGCUCUUUUAGUGGGGAAGAUAAUGACGGUACCCACAGAAAAAGCCCCGGCUAACUCCGUGCCAGCAGCCGCGGUAA
rnacentral:rRNA from 1 species